GCUCAGGAUGAACGCUGGCGGCGUGCUUAACACAUGCAAGUCGAACGAUGAACCUCACUUGUGGGGGGAUUAGUGGCGAACGGGUGAGUAACACGUGAGUAACCUGCCCUUGACUCUGGGAUAAGCCUGGGAAACCGGGUCUAAUACUGGAUACGACCUUCCCGCGCAUGCGGUGUUGGUGGAAAGCUUUUGUGGUUUUGGAUGGACUCGCGGCCUAUCAGCUUGUUGGUGGGGUAAUGGCCUACCAAGGCGACGACGGGUAGCCGGCCUGAGAGGGUGACCGGCCACACUGGGACUGAGACACGGCCCAGACUCCUACGGGAGGCAGCAGUGGGGAAUAUUGCACAAUGGGCGCAAGCCUGAUGCAGCGACGCCGCGUGAGGGAUGAAGGCCUUCGGGUUGUAAACCUCUUUCAGUAGGGAAGAAGCUGGUCCUUUGGGGUUGGUGACGGUAC
rnacentral:rRNA from 1 species